UUUCUUUUUGUUUUGAGGCUUUCUCUUUACUUCGUCCUUUAUUGUCUUCUGUAGUUUUAUUUAUUGUUUCUGAGAUUUUCCUUUCUUUCUUUUUUUUUAUUUAUUAUUAUUAUUUUUUGCAUGGGGGAACAGGGAGAAAAUCAGGGAAAUCUGGAAAGGCAAGCAGGUCUUUGUGUCUUUUAAAAGGUGAGCAGAAGAUAGCAUGUCCUUCCUGCUGCAGGGCAGAGACUGAAGAGACACUGUUUAUGAGGGUUUUUGACAUUAAGUCAAAAAUGUUCAAAAAUGUUAUUGAAGUUAAACACAGGCCCAGAAAGUGGUGUUGUUGUUUUUUAUCAGAGAUAAAUUACGAGC
rnacentral:lncRNA from 1 species